AUUGAACGCUGGCGGCAGGCCUAACACAUGCAAGUCGAGCGGAGCGGCCGACGGGUGAGUAAUGCCUAGGAAUCUGCCUGGCAGUGGGGGAUAACGUCCGGAAAGGGCCGCUAAUCCCGCAUCCUUUUAGCUGCGCCUAGGCGGGUUUAGCUAGUUGGGGGGGUAAAGGCCUACCAAGGCGACGAUCCGUAACUGGUCUGAGAGGAUGAUCAGUCACACUGGAACUGAGACACGGUCCAGACUCCUACGGGAGGCAGCAGUGGGGAAUAUUGGACAAUGGGCGAAAGCCUGAUCCAGCCAUGCCGCGUGUGUGAAGAAGGUCUUCGGAUUGUAAAGCACUUUAAGUUGGGAGGCGUUACCAACAGAAUAAGCACCGGCUAACUUCGUGCCAGCAGCCGCGGUAAUAC
rnacentral:rRNA from 1 species